UACGGGGGGGGCAAGCGUUGUUCGGAAUUACUGGGCGUAAAGGGCUCGUAGGCGGCCAACUAAGUCAGACGUGAAGUCCCUCGGCUUAACCGGGGAACUGCGUCUGAUACUGGAUGGCUCGAGAUUGGGAGAGGGAUGCGGAAUUCCAGGUGUAGCGGUGAAAUGCGCAGAUAUCAGGAAGAACACCCGUGGCGAAGGCGGUUCUCUGGGACGGUACUGACGCUGAGACGCGAAAGCGUGGGGAGCGAACAGG
rnacentral:rRNA from 1 species